AUUGAACGCUGGCGGCAUGCUUUACACAUGCAAGUCGAACGGCAGCGCGGGCUUCGGCCUGGCGGCGAGUGGCGAACGGGUGAGUAAUGCAUCGGAACGUGCCCAGUAGUGGGGGAUAGCCCGGCGAAAGCCGGAUUAAUACCGCAUACGACCAGAGGGUGAAAGGGGGGGACCGAAAGGCAUCGCGCGAUUGGAGGGGCCGCUUAGGGUUUUCCUGGUUGGUGGGGGAAGGGCUUACCAAGGCGGCGAUCCGUAGCUGGUCUGAGAGGACGACCAGCCACCCUGGGACUGAGCCCCGGCCCAGCCUCCUACGGGGGGCAGCGGUGGGGAAUUUUGGACAAUGGGGGCAACCCUGCGCCAGCCAUGCCGCGUGCGGGAAGAAGGCCUUCGGGUUGUAAACCGCUUUUGUUCGGGAAGAAAUCCUCUGGGCUAAUACCCCGGGGGGAUGACGGGACCGGAAGAAUAAGCACCGGCUACCUACGU
rnacentral:rRNA from 1 species